GAUGGCUGGGCGGUGGCGGCGUCUCCGGCCCCGGGGUGAGGUGGCUUUGACCCCGGGUUGCCCGGCCAGCGCGACCGAGGAGGUGGCUGGACAGCUGGAGAAUGAACGGAGAAGCCGACUGUCCCACAGACCUGGAAAUGGCCGCCCCCAAAGGCCAAGACCGCUGGUCCCAGGAAGAUAUGCUAACUUUGCUGGAAUGCAUGAAGAACAACCUUCCAUCCAAUGACAGCUCCAAGUUCAAGACCACAGAGUCGCAUAUGGACUGGGAAAAAGUCGCAUUUAAGGAUUUUUCAGGAGAUAUGUGCAAGCUCAAAUGGGUGGAGAUUUCUAACGAGGUAA
rnacentral:lncRNA from 1 species